GGGUACUAUACUGUCUAACGUGUACUGAAACUCUAACUAUGAUCAGCCCAUCAUGAAUUCCAGGUUGCAGUAUGUUUCUCAGUUACAUAAAGACUUUGGAGGUUUUAUCAGGGUCGGCGAAGCCGUAGGAUUCGUCAUUGUCUGCAAAGCCAAUUCGAAAACGUAUUGUAGGUCGCUGUUUUUUCCCAACUCGGAAAACGUGUUUAUCUGGUAGAUAUAGGAAGUUACGUUUGACAUUUCAUCUAUUCCGUUAAUGUACUUGCCAACGGCAACAACAAAAGUUUUCACACCCGGAAUAUUCCGCUUUAGCUUUUUCGCACUGCAUGCAUGGCUAGUGUUUUCUGCUAUAUAAUCAUUCGACCGUCCAUCUGUCACGAGAAAGACCAGCUUUCUUGCGAAUGGCCGGGCUCCUAAUUUAAAGAAAUAUAAUAUAAUGCAAGAAACUAAAAAAAUAAUUAGCAUAUAGAUAACAGGAUGGCUUCGAGUGAACUUGGAUAAAACAUGUACGAGUGAGUUUUUCAAAGAGCAU
rnacentral:lncRNA from 1 species